rnacentral:rRNA from 1 species
AUUGAACGCUGGCGGCAUGCCUUACACAUGCAAGUCGAACGGCAGCACGGGUGCUUGCACCUGGUGGCGAGUGGCGAACGGGUGAGUAAAGUAUCGGAACGUGCCUGGUAGUGGGGGAUAACUAGUCGAAAGACUAGCUAAUACCGCAUACGAUCUAAGGAUGAAAGCAGGGGACCUUCGGGCCUUGUGCUAUCAGAGCGGCCGAUAUCUGAUUAGCUAGUUGGUGGGGUAAAAGCCCACCAAGGCGACGAUCAGUAGCUGGUCUGAGAGGACGACCAGCCACACUGGAACUGAGACACGGUCCAGACUCCUACGGGAGGCAGCAGUGGGGAAUUUUGGACAAUGGGGGCAACCCUGAUCCAGCAAUGCCGCGUGAGUGAAGAAGGCCCUCGGGUUGUAAAGCUCUUUUGUCAGGGAAGAAAAGGCUGUGGCUAAUAUCCACAGCUGCUGACGGUACCUGAAGAAUAAGCACCAGCUAACUACGUGCCAGCCGCCGCCGUAA